rnacentral:lncRNA from 1 species
CAAAAUAUAACCAAACACAAUUACUAAGGCAACAUGAUAGAAAAUACAUAAAUUUCAAACUAUAGAAAAAAUAGUAGAAACGACAUAGAGACAGACCUCAAUAUAGCUCGUCUCACUGCUUUGAAAUCGAAAGGAAAGAUGAAAUACAGCGGCAAUGAAUCGAACCAGUAUCGCGAACCAACAGCAACACUCGAAUCGGCAACUGGACGACGACCUCAAAUCGUUUCCAACAUCUCACUCCAACGCAUCUUAGUGAAAGAAUGUGGUGUUGUGCGUGUUUCGGAUUUCGUGUUUCUGUCCAUGUGAGUUCCGGCGAGUGGAUGGUGAAGGUUGUGUGUGGCCAAUUCAGAGUGAGGUCAUGGGGUGGGUGUAACGAUUUUUUGUUUUGUUUUCUUGCUAGCUGAAAUUGCGGCGCUACUCUACUGAUUUUUCAGAGUGUAUU